rnacentral:rRNA from 1 species
AUACAGAGGUGGCAAGCGUUGUUCGGAAUUACUGGGCGUAAAGGGCGCGUAGGCGGCCUUCUAAGUCGGACGUGAAAGCCCCAGGCUUAACCUGGGAACUGCGUCCGAUACUGGGAGGCUUGGAUUCGGGAGAGGGAUGUGGAAUUCCAGGUGUAGCGGUGAAAUGCGUAGAUAUCUGGAGGAACACCGGUGGCGAAGGCGGCAUCCUGGACCGAGAUCGACGCUGAGGCGCGAAAGCUAGGGGAGCAAACGGGAUUAGAUACCCCGGUAGUCCUAGCCCUAAACGAUGAGUGCUUGGUGUGGCGGGUAUCGAUCCCUGCCGUGCCGAAGCUAACGCAUUAAGCACUCCGCCUGGGGAGUACGGUCGCAAGGCUGAA